rnacentral:rRNA from 1 species
AACGCGUGAGGAACCUGCCUCAAAGAGGGGGACAACAGUUGGAAACGACUGCUAAUACCGCAUAAGCCCACAGGUCGGCAUCGACCAGAGGGAAAAGGAGCAAUCCGCUUUGAGAUGGCCUCGCGUCCGAUUAGCUAGUUGGUGAGGUAAUGGCCCACCAAGGCAACGAUCGGUAGCCGGACUGAGAGGUUGAACGGCCACAUUGGGACUGAGACACGGCCCAGACUCCUACGGGAGGCAGCAGUGGGGAAUAUUGCACAAUGGGGGAAACCCUGAUGCAGCGACGCCGCGUGGAGGAAGAAGGUCUUCGGAUUGUAGACUCCUGUUGUUGAGGAAGAUAAUGACGGUACUCAACAAGGAAGUGACGGCUAACUACGUGCCAGCAGCCGCGGUAAAACGUAGGUCACAAGCGUUGUCCGGAAUUACUGGGUGUAAAGGGAGCGCAGGCGGGAAGACAAGUUGGAAGUGAAAUCUAUGGGCUCAACCCAUAAACUGCUUUCAAAACUGUUUUUCUUGAGUAGUGCAGAGGUAGGCGGAAUUCCCGGUGUAGCGGUGGAAUGCGUAGAUAUCGGGAGGAACACCAGUGGCGAAGGCGGCCUACUGGGCACCAACUGACGCUGAGGCUCGAAAGUGUGGGUAGCAAACAGGAUUAGAUACCCUGGUAGUCCACACCGUAAACGAUGAUUACUAGGUGUUGGAGGAUUGAC